UACGUAGGGUGCAAGCGUUGUCCGGAAUUAUUGGGCGUAAAGAGCUCGUAGGCGGCUUGUCGCGUCGGCUGUGAAAACCUGGGGCUCAACCCCGGGCCGUGCAGCCGAUACGGGCAAGCGUAGAAUUCGGUGAGGGGAGGACUGGAAUUCCUGGAUGUAGCGGUGAAAUGACGCAGAUAUCAGGAGGAACACCGAUGGCGAAGGCAGAUCUCUGGGCCGUAACUGACGCUGAGGAGCGAAAGCAUGGGGAGCGAACAGG
rnacentral:rRNA from 1 species